GGAUCUCCAAGCCUAUAAUUUACAGUUGCCAGAAGUUCAAUCAAGACCGCAUUUUGGAUUAAUCCCAUAUUUUGAAGACAUGGUACAGAACAAGUCAAUAGGAAUUUCAGCAGAAUCACUGACCAGUUUGAAACUAUCUGCUCUCCAUAACCCUUUUGUAGAAUGAGUUGACAAGAAUAAUAAGUCCUGCACAGCCCCUUUCAUCUGAGAUGAACCUAGUCUGAG
rnacentral:misc_RNA from 1 species